UACGGAGGGUGCAAGCGUUGUUCGGAAUCAUUGGGCGUAAAGCGCGUGUAGGCGGCUUGGUAAGUCGGGUGUGAAAUCCCGGGGCCCAACCCCGGAACUGCAUUCGAAACUGCCUCGCUAGAGUCCCGGAGAGGAAGGCGGAAUUCCCGGUGUAGAGGUGAAAUUCGUAGAUAUCGGGAGGAACACCAGCGGCGAAGGCGGCCUUCUGGACGGUGACUGACGCUGAGACGCGAAAGCGUGGGGAGCAAACGGG
rnacentral:rRNA from 1 species